GUGAACGCUGGCGGUAGGCCUAACCCAUGCAAGUCGCACGGCAGCACAGUAAGAGCUUGCUCUUACGGGUGGCGAGUGGCGGACGGGUGAGAAAUACAUCGGAAUCUACUUUUUCGUGGGGGAUAACGUAGGGAAACUUACGCUAAUACCGCAUACGACCUACGGGUGAAAGCAGGGGAUCUUCGGACCUUGCGCGAUUGAAUGAGCCGAUGUCGGAUUAGCUAGUUGGCGGGGUAAAGGCCCACCAAGGCGACGAUCCGUAGCUGGUCUGAGAGGAUGAUCAGCCACACUGGAACUGAGACACGGUCCAGACUCCUACGGGAGGCAGCAGUGGGGAAUAUUGGACAAUGGGCGCAAGCCUGAUCCAGCCAUACCGCGUGGGUGAAGAAGGCCUUCGGGUUGUAAAGCCCUUUUGUUGGGAAAGAAAAGCGGCAGGUUAAUACCCCGCUGUUCUGACGGUACCCAAAGAAUAAGCACCGGCUAACUUCGUG
rnacentral:rRNA from 1 species